rnacentral:rRNA from 1 species
GACGACGCUGGCGGCGUGGAUUAGGCAUGCAAGUCGAACGGUAUCAUCCUUUCGGGGGUGAGAGAGUGGCGAACUGGUGAGUAACACGUAGGUUAUCUACCCUCAAGACGGGGACAACCCAGGGAAACUUGGGCUAAUACCGGAUGUGAGCAACUUUUAGUUGUUUGAAAGGUGGCGUAAGCUGUCGCUUGGGGAUGAGCCUGCGUCCUAUUAGUUAGUUGGUGAGGUAACGGCUCACCUAGGCAAUGAUAGGUAGGCGGCCUUAACGGGUGGUCGCCCACACUGGGAUUGAGAUACGGCCCAGACUCCUACGGGAGGCAGCAGUCGAGAAUAGUCUACAAUGGUCGGAAGACUGAUAGUGCGACGCCGCGUGAACGAUGAAUCCCUUCGGGGCGUAAAGUUCUUUUAUAUGUGAGCAGUGCUUCUUAUAUUAACAGUAUGGGGAGAGAGAUAUUAGCAUAUGAAUAAGCAACGGCUAACUCCGUG